CAGUCGCCGCGGGAAAACGAAGGGGGCUAGCGUUGUUCGGAAUUACUGGGCGUAAAGCGCACGUAGGCGGACAUUUAAGUCAGGGGUGAAAUCCCGGGGCUCAACCCCGGAACUGCCUUUGAUACUGGGUGUCUUGAGUGUGGAAGAGGUCAGUGGAAUUGCGAGUGUAGAGGUGAAAUUCGUAGAUAUUCGCAGGAACACCAGUGGCGAAGGCGGCUGACUGGUCCACAACUGACGCUGAGGUGCGAAAGCGUGGGGAGCAAACAGGAUUAGAUACCCCCGUAGUCCCUGUCUCUUAUAA
rnacentral:rRNA from 1 species